UACGAGGGGGGCGAGCGUUGAUCGGAAUUAUUGGGCGUAAAGGGUGCGUAGGCGGUUUGGUAAGUCUUGUGUGAAAUCUACAGGCUCAACUUGUAGUCUGCACGAGAAACUGCCGGGCUUGAGUAUGGGAGAGGUGAGUGGAAUUCCUGGUGUAGCGGUGAAAUGCGUAGAUAUCAGGAGGAACACCUGUGGCGAAAGCGGCUCACUGGACCAUAACUGACGCUGAUGCACGAAAGCUAGGGGAGCAAACAGG
rnacentral:rRNA from 1 species